AAAAUCUUUAAGUCAUGAGAAAGAUAGAACAUGCACUAAACUCAAAUUUUGAACAAUAUAUAUAUAUAUAUGCAUAUAUCUAGGCUGCACCAUAAUCAACUAAAUUGCAUAAUCAUCACCCAUGAUUAUAAACAUAUUCAAUACUAAUUAACAAUUCUAUGUUUCUAGUAAAAAAAAAAAAAAAAAAGCUACCCCAAAAAAGUAAAAAUAUGUACAUGAAGUAUACCCCAACGGAUUGAAUUACCUACUAUCCCAAAAAUGUAAGCUCUUUGCCCCCUAACAAUUCAAUUGGCAUGACGAUUAAUUAAUUGAUUGAAGUGAAAAAUUAUACACAACCAUGGCCACCACCAUCACAAGUGCAACCACCGUUGCCGGAGAUAAUAUCACUGUCUCGUCGAGGUUUAGUGCUUAAACAACAACAUAGAAGAGCCACCAACAACAUAAAUCCCCAUGCUGUAGCCAAAGCUUGUACCCAACUCAAGUAUUUUCCCAUUCUUUCUUCUUACAUAUAUAUCCCCCUAUAUAUGUCUCUUGAGUUUAAUUUUCAGCUCCUUUCAUUACCUUUGAUAUAUAUCACAAGUACCAUCAAUUAUGAAUUUUAAGACUUGAAAUCACCAAAGGGCGGUAUGAUUAAUAUGAUAUAUCUUUAGCCUUUAGAGAAAAAAGAAUAUUUUGUAUCAAUUGGGAUAAUAUGGUGGUAUAGCACAUGGUGUGAGCUUGAAAGAGUGCAAAAUAACAUGGGGCCAACCUGUAAUUUUUGUGGUUACACCUUAAUUGUAGUAAUGCUCUUCCACCUCUUAUAAUCGUUUGAAAGGCUAAAAAGCAAAGAGUAAUAAAUUUGGUUCGUUUUCCUUAUUAAAAGUCUUUUUUUUUUUUUUGGUAUAAAUGCUUACACUAGGGAAUCUUGUCG
rnacentral:lncRNA from 1 species